AACGAACGCUGGCGGCAGGCUUAACACAUGCAAGUCGAGCGCCCCGCAAGGGGAGCGGCAGACGGGUGAGUAACGCGUGGGAAUCUACCCAUCUCUACGGAAUAACGCAUGGAAACGUGUGCUAAUACCGUAUACGUCCUUCGGGAGAAAGAUUUAUCGGAGAUGGAUGAGGCCCGCGUUGGAUUAGCUAGUUGGUGGGGUAAAGGCCUACCAAGGCGACGAUCCAUAGCUGGUCUGAGAGGAUGAUCAGCCACACUGGGACUGAGACACGGCCAAGACUCCUACGGGAGGCAGCAGUGGGGAAUAUUGGACAAUGGGCGCAAGCCUGAUCCAGCCAUGCCGCGUGAGUGAUGAAGGCCCUAGGGUUGUAAAGCUCUUUCACCGGUGAAGAUAAUGACGGUAACCGGAGAAGAAGCCCCGGCUAACUUCGUGCCAGCAGCCGCAGUAAUAC
rnacentral:rRNA from 1 species